UGCCAGCCGCCGCGGUAAUACGGAGGGUGCAAGCGUUGUUCGGAAUUACUGGGCGUAAAGCGCGCGUAGGCGGUUGUACAAGUCAGAUGUGAAAGUCCAUGGCUCAACCAUGGAAGUGCAUUUGAAACUGUAUAACUUGAGUACUGGAGGGGGUGGUGGAAUUCCCGGUGUAGAGGUGAAAUUCGUAGAUAUCGGGAGGAAUACCGGUGGCGAAGGCGGCUUUCUGGACCGAUACUGACGCUGAGACGCGAAAGCGUGGGGAGCAAACAGGAUUAGAUA
rnacentral:rRNA from 1 species